rnacentral:rRNA from 1 species
UACAGAGGUCUCAAGCGUUAAUCGGAAUUACUGGGCGUAAAGCGUGCGCAGGCGGUUAUGUAAGACAGAUGUGAAAUCCCCGGGCUCAACCUGGGAACUGCAUUUGUGACUGCAUAGCUAGAGUACGGUAGAGGGGGAUGGAAUUCCGCGUGUAGCAGUGAAAUGCGUAGAUAUGCGGAGGAACACCGAUGGCGAAGGCAAUCCCCUGGACCUGUACUGACGCUCAUGCACGAAAGCGUGGGGAGCAAACAGG